rnacentral:lncRNA from 1 species
AUAUGCUCAAUAAUUAUGUAAAUGGGUCAAUCAAGAAAUUUAAAAAAAAGGGGCAGGAGGUGUUAAGAAAAAAAAGGGGAGUUCUUAGAAAAAAAAGAGGGUGCGGCUUGAUACGACCACAGAGGUCUGACCUAAAAUCAAAAAUCUAAAUACAUGGUUAUAUUCAGCAUAUAAAAGAACCCCAGAUAUUUCUAUUUUGUUGAAAUCAAUUAAAGUUUAAUUUUUGACCCGUUG